rnacentral:rRNA from 1 species
AUUGAACGCUGGCGGCAUGCUUUACACAUGCAAGUCGAACGGCAGCACGGGUGCUUGCACCUGGUGGCGAGUGGCGGACGGGUGAGUAAUACAUCGGAACGUAUCCAGAAGAGGGGGAUAACGCAUCGAAAGAUGUGCUAAUACCGCAUAUUCUCUGAGGAGGAAAGCAGGGGCUCGCAAGACCUUGCGCUUUUGGAGCGGCCGAUGUCUGAUUAGCUAGUUGGUGGGGUAAAGGCCUACCAAGGCGACGAUCAGUAGUUGGUCUGAGAGGACGACCAGCCACACUGGGACUGAGACACGGCCCAGACUCCUACGGGAGGCAGCAGUGGGGAAUUUUGGACAAUGGGCGCAAGCCUGAUCCAGCAAUGCCGCGUGAGUGAAGAAGGCCUCGGUUGUAAAGCUCUUCUAGUCGAGAAGAAAAGGACGUAGUGGUAAAGUAAUACACAGUU